CUGGAGUACAGAAGCAAAUCGUAAUUAGUGUAAACCAAGUGUUCAAAAAUAAAUUCUCUUUUUAUUUUUUUUAUAUUUUAUUUUUCUUUUUAUCUGAGAUUUCCUUUUUUUUUUAUUUUACGUGACACUGUCAUGGCUCUGUGAAUGGCUGGAAAGUAUAUAAGGUGGCACUGAAAAACGUAUUCUACAAGAGCAGAUCUAUUAUCCGAAGUGUUCUAAUUUUUUCUUUUUUUUACUGUUUCAUUUGCUUUCAAAGUAAUUUCUCUUUGCGAGCGAUACACCGAGAUGGAAACUUCUUUUUCUUUGCCAUUUCUUCAAACAAUGCUGCAGGUCUUAAUCCCGUAGAACAUUCGCUUGGUUGACCUUUCAAGCGUUUCCGAAUCGAAUACGAAAGAGAUGACCUUUCGAAUGACUUUUAAUUACAAGAAAUAGAAAGAAGUUACUGAUACUGUAGCACGCUCUUACGAUUUUCCUUCUAACUAACACACUGAAAAUGCGAAAAGGUGCGUUUGUCGCGAUGCAAUAAACACGUGGUGUGGUAUUAUACUAUACUAUAGUUACAGUUGUACUGGACGAGCUGAUCGAACGCCUUAAAAUAAACGGAAGUCGUUAGUGUUGCACGCGUUUUCGUCGCCCGCAUUUGUUCGAACACGUUCAAUUAAUUUGAUUUGUUCGUCCCAUCUAUUGCGAUCGAGGAUACGUGGCCUGGAUAUUUCGAAUAUAUGAAAAGUGUUACAGGGUUUAUUCGUACCAUACCAUUGGAUUCAUCUGAUCGACUCGGAAAAUACUGAAACGAAUUAUUGUAGUAUCGUGGGGAAAAAACCUGGUUAGAAACUAAGCAAAACAAGGUCGCCUGUCCUUCGGUUAUUACCCUUUGAGUGCUGUGGGCGCAUAUAGGUGUCUGGCGAAAGCUAUCGGUGUGGACUAAGGAC
rnacentral:misc_RNA from 1 species